rnacentral:rRNA from 1 species
AGAGUUUGAUCCUGGCUCAGGACGAACGCUGGCGGCGCGCCUAACACAUGCAAGUCGAGCGGGGAUAUCUUAAGAGUAAUCGAGAGAUAUUCUAGCGGCGGACGGGUGAGUAACGCGUGAGUGACCUGCCUUACACAGGGGGAUACCGUACCGAAAGGUACACUAAUACCGCAUGAGACCACAGCAGCGCAUGCUGCAGGGGUCAAAGGAGUGAUCCGGUGUAAGAUGGACUCGCGUCCGAUUAGAUAGUUGGCGGGGUAACGGCCCACCAAGUCAGUGAUCGGUAGCCGACCUGAGAGGGUGAUCGGCCACAUUGGAACUGAGAGACGGUCCAAACUCCUACGGGAGGCAGCAGUGGGGAAUAUUGGGCAAUGGAGGAAACUCUGAUGUAGCAACGCCGCGUGGAGGAUGACACAUUUCGGUGCGUAAACUCCUUUUAUAUGGGAAGAUAAUGACGGUACCAUAUGAAUAAGCACCGGCUAACUCCGUGCCAGCAGCCGCGGUAAUACGGAGGGUGCAAGCGUUACUCGGAAUCACUGGGCGUAAAGCGCGCGCAGGCGGUCUUUUAAGUUGGAUGUGAAAUCCUAUGGCUCAACCAUAGAACUGCAUCCAAAACUGAAAGACUAGAGUCUGGGAGGGGAAGAUGGAAUUAGUGGUGUAGGGGUAAAAUCCGUAGAGAUCACUAGGAAUACCAAAAGCGAAGGCGAUCUUCUGGAACAGUACUGACGCUGAGGCGCGAAAGCGUGGGGAGCAAACAGGAUUAGAUACCCUGGUAGUCCACGCCCUAAACUAUGAAUGUUAGUCGUCGGGGGGCUUGUCUUCUCGGUGAUGCAGCUAACGCAUUAAACAUUCCGCCUGGGGAGUACGGUCGCAAGAUUAAAACUCAAAGGAAUAGACGGGGACCCGCACAAGUGGUGGAGCAUGUGGUUUAAUUCGAAGAUACGCGAAGAACCUUACCUGGCCUUGACAUUGAUAGAAUCUGCUAGAGAUAGCGGAGUGCCCUUCGGGGAGCUUGAAAACAGGUGCUGCACGGCUGUCGUCAGCUCGUGUCGUGAGAUGUUGGGUUAAGUCCCGCAACGAGCGCAACCCUCGUCACUAGUUACUAACGGUUCGGCCGAGGACUCUAGUGAGACUGCCUUCGUAAGGAGGAGGAAGGUGAGGACGACGUCAAGUCAUCAUGGCCCUUACGGCCAGGGCGACACACGUGCUACAAUGGGAUGUACAAUGAGACGCAAUACCGCGAGGUGGAGCAAAUCUAUAAAGCAUCUCUCAGUUCGGAUUGUAGUCUGCAACUCGACUACAUGAAGCUGGAAUCACUAGUAAUCGUAGAUCAGCCAUGCUACGGUGAAUACGUUCCCGGGUCUUGUACUCACCGCCCGUCACACCAUGGGAGUUGAUUUCACCCGAAGCGGGGAAGCUAAACUGGCUACCCUCCACGGUGGAAUCAGCGACUGGGGUGAAGUCGUAACAAGGUAACCGUA